AGGGAGGGAAGAAGAGAACUAGAGCUUCUGAUCUUGCAAGCAUGACAUAUUCUUUUAUCACUUUGGUUGAAAAUACUCAUACAAGCAUGAAUGAACUUUCCACGAGAAGUUGGGUAUGCAUAGGAUCUCUCACAGGCUAGGAAAAAUAUGUUUGUUGAACUCAUGAAGCUCCUCCUUCAAUCAAAUGCUAGGUUGAGGGUAGCAGAUGAAAUUGUAAAAAAUGACAAGCGAGUGGAUUUGUUCUUUAGCCUCCCUGAUGGCCAUAAAAUGGAGUUUGUUUGUAUGGUGUUGAUAGGCGUCCUUCUUCUGUGAGAAAAAAUAAAAUUUUAUUAAAUUAAGACAGUAUUAUAUAAUAUUUAUGGAUAUAGUUGUUGACUUUACUAGUAGGUUAUGUAGCUGGUAAGUGAUUAUCUUACUUGUUUGGUGUCUAAUUUUGCUUAUUAAUGGGGAUUCUUGUUCGACUAGUAUGCUAUAUUUUACAAUUACUCCCUCUAGUGGCAUGUAAAGAUGUCUAGUUUUAUAACUUACGAUAAUUGAGAGUG
rnacentral:lncRNA from 1 species